rnacentral:lncRNA from 1 species
AAGAUGGAGAGGAUCAUCGUUUUGUUGCUCGUGAGUAUUUGUCGCUAUUCAUUUCGAAUGAAAGUUUGAAAAUUGGGAUGUUUUAAAUGGUGAAGUUAAUUAAAUUUUUUAAUAUAAUUAAAGAUAAAUUUAGACUCUCUUAAUCUAUUGUAUAACCUUGAGGAUUACUGUAAGCAUAUUAGAGAUUCGAAAGUUCGAGCUGUGAUUUUUCUUUUAAGAAUUUUUCACGUUAAUAUUGUGCGGAUGAUUAUUUGUUAUUUUU